GCCGAAGUGGCGGAAUCUGGCAGACGCGCUGGAUUCAGGAUCCAGUGGGCAUACGCCCGUGGGGGUUCAACUCCCCCCUUCGGCA
rnacentral:tRNA from 3 species